rnacentral:rRNA from 1 species
UACGUAGGGUGCGAGCGUUGUCCGGAAUUAUUGGGCGUAAAGGGCUCGUAGGCGGUUUGUCGCGUCGGGAGUGAAAUCCACUGGCUUAACUGGUGGCUUGCUUUCGAUACGGGCAGACUGGAGGUAUGCAGGGGAGAACGGAAUUCCUGGUGUAGCGGUGAAAUGCGUAGAUAUCUGGAGGAACACCGGUGGCGAAGGCGGCGACCUGGUCCUUGACUGACGCUGAGGCGCGAAAGCGUGGGGAGCAAACAGG